rnacentral:rRNA from 1 species
AANUCCCAGGGCUCAACCCUGGAACUGCCUUAUAAACUCCUGGUCUUGAGUUCGAGAGAGGUAAGUGGAAUUCCGAGUGUAGAGGUGAAAUUCGUAGAUAUUCGGAGGAACACCAGUGGCGAAGGCGGCUUACUGGCUCGAUACUGACGCUGAGGUGCGAAAGUGUGGGGAGCAAACAGGAUUAGAUACCCUGGUAGUCCACACCGUAAACGAUGAAUGCCAGACGUCAGCAAGCAUGCUUGUUGGUGUCACACCUAACGGAUUAAGCAUUCCGCCUGGGGAGUACGGUCGCAAGAUUAAAACUCAAAGGAAUUGACGGGGCCCGCACAAGCGGUGGAGCAUGUGGUUUAAUUCGAAGCAACGCGCAGAACCUUACCAACCCUUGACAUCCUUGGCCCGCCAGAGAGAUCUGGUUUUCUCGCAAGAGACCAAGUGACAGGUGCUGCAUGGCUGUCGUCAGCUCGUGUCGUGAGAUGUUCGGUUAAGUCCGGCAACGAGCGCAACCUACAUCCUUAGUUGCCAGCAGUUCGGCUGGGCACUCUAGGGAAACUGCCCGUGAUAAGCGGGAGGAAGGUGUAGAUGACGUCAAGUCCUCAUGGCCCUUACGGGUUGGGCUACACACGUGCUACAAUGGCAUCUACAGUGAGUUAAUCUCCAAAAGAUGUCUCAGUUCGGAUUGGGGUCUGCAACUCGACCCCAUGAAGUCGGAAUCGCUAGUAAUCGCGUAACAGCAUGACGCGGUGAAUACGUUCCCGGGCCUUGUACACACCGCCCGUCACACCAUGGGAGUUGGAUCUACCCGAAGGCCGUGCGCCAACCUUUUCGGAGGGGGCAGCGGACCACGGUGGGUUCAGCGACUGGGGUGAAGUCGUAANCAAGGUAA